rnacentral:rRNA from 1 species
AGAUCCAAUAGCGUAUAUUAGAGUUGUUGCAGUUGAAAAUCUCGUAGUUGAAUUUCUGGUGGGAGGGAUUGUUCCAGCACUCUGUGUGGGAGCUUGUAUCCUCUCCGGCAAUCCUUGAGUAGAUCUUGGCUGGUAUUAAGUUGUCAGUCAGGGGAUGCCCUUCAUUUAUUGUGAAAAGAAUAGAGUGUUCAAAUCAGGCUUAUGCCUUUGAAUAUAUUAGCAUGGAAUAAUAGGAUAGGAUCCUGGUACUAAUUUUGUUGGUUUGUGUACCGAGGUAAUGAUUAAUAGGGACAGUUGGGAGUAUUUGUAUUUGUAUUCAGUACUCAGUGGUGAAAGACUUAGACCUACGGAAGACAAACUACUGCGAAAGAAUUUACCAAGGAUGUUUUCA